GUAGAAGGUGUGAUUCUGCUGCUUCUAAACGCUGUGUGCUCUGAUGCUGCUGCUGAAUCCUCGGAGGACUCGGACCAACAUGAAGCUCCUUCAGCUCGUCUGGAUCUUCCUGCUCACUCUGUGCGGACAAAGCGCUGACAUUAAGAUCCAGGUGAAGGAAGACGGUGAAGCCAUUCUGGACUGUUCCUUUGGUACAAACAUUAAGAACGAGCCGUUUGCCUGGAAGAAAGAUGUGGAUCAAAGCAAUGAGGAUGAGGUUUUCUGGUACUCUGGUGGAGACACAGAUCCAGGUCCAGAGUUCAGAGGUCGGGUCUUUCAUUUUCCUGACCAGCUCCAGUUCGGUAACGCCUCCAUAAAGAUCACAAAAGCAAAAACAUCAGACAGUGGAACCUACACGUGUUAUCACGCAACUGUUCAGAAAGAAAUCAAAUCGACCAUCAGUCUGACUGUUGGUCCUAUCUUAAAAGACAGAUCAGACGAAAAGAUAGAAGGUGCAUCUCCAGAGCCAUCUGUCACAAAUCUUGAAGAAACGCAGACCUCAGCGCUGCUUCGGUGUGUCGUUCGAGGUGCUUCUCCAAAACCUGAAGUUGUCUGGAUGGACAGUGAUGGAACGACUCUUCGUGGUGAUGAAUCAAAGGCCACAAAAACAACAGGAAACAAGUAUGACACCGUCCUCCGUAUUACUGUGACCAAGACUGACAACUACACCUGUGUGGCCACACAGAAGGAAAUCAACCAUCAGAUUAAUAACACAAUCUUUGUGCGUUUGAAUGGUGGAGCUUCAAAACCAAAUGCCAAAGAAAUUAAUGAAACAAAAGAUGGAGUUUUGCUUCAGUGCGUUGUUCAAGAUCCUUCUCCACAAACCAAAGUUUUCUGGAAGGACAGCACUGGACAAGAUGUUCGUUCUGAAGAACAGAAGACAGAAAACUCCAUUAUUCUCUGGGCUACUGUGACAAUGACCGACUACUAUCGCUGUGUGACCACAGAGGGGAAGAAGGACGAUGAACUUUAUGAUGAGAUUCGUGUGAAGAUCACUGAUGGUUCAUGGACAAAGUUGCUGAUUGGAAUUGUUGUUGGAGUUGUUCUUACAGUUGCUGUUGGAGUCAUUGCAUGGUGUUGCUGCAAAAAAAAGCUGGAGGUUCAACACCAGAGGGAGGCAAGAAAGGAUAUAAUUUAACUGAUGUUCAGCACCAUGCCUGACGACAACAACACAAACUUCUUUCAUCUUCAUACAGAAUGAAACGUUUCUUAUUCCUGCUGAUAGAAAACAAUCAUCAAACUUUACACAUUUAAACCAUUCCUGAACUUUUCUCUGCGUUUUUCUCUCCUGGAUGGAAGAAGUUUGAUUUGUUUCUUCUUCUUUGAGGUUUUUUUUAGAAGUUGUCAAACAGCUGCUUUUGUCUGCUUCUUCUUCUUCUACUGUUUAUUCCAGUCAUGUGUCCUCCAGCGCCACCUUCUGAUGACUUUAUUCAUCCAAAGCCUUCAUGGAAAUCAGCUGAUCUGUGUUGAUUUUUAGGAGAUUUUAAAGUUUGCUUCAAAUGUUGUUGACAGUUGGACACAAACCUGGUUUGUUCUGUGAACAUUUAACCUCCACUUUACUGUUGUUAACAUGAACUCACUCAAAUGUUGUUUUUCUGUUUGUUUUUAGUUCCUUAAAUGUUGUGGUUAAAGGUUGUAAUAUGUUCUCCAAGACGUUCUGUAAAUGUUUGGUUCUAACGUUGUUUUCUUUGAGAUUUUCCGUCUUUUGUCGUCGUAUAGUUUGUGGAACGUUGUGGGAAUGUUUCUGGUUUGUUUCCUCAAAAACAUCCUCAGAACUUUGCAGGUAAAAUGUUCCACUUUAAUUCAUAUUUUACAUUCUAGGAACGUUUUCUAAAAAUCACUUGAGGCCUUGAGAACGUUUUUAAUGCUGAUUUGUUCUUCCUUUGCUGUAACAUGGUCUGUUGAUCUGACAACGUUCUCCAAACAUCCUCUGAAUGUUGCAGCUGAAACAUUCUGUGAGAUCUUCAGGUCGGAACAUUUAGUGACAGGAGCAUUAAAAACAGACUGACUGACCUGAAAGCUGCUGUUUGUUGCUGAAAAUGUGAAUAUUUUGCAGCUAAAGUGUAAAAUAAUGUGACUUUUUCUCUGUGUUUUGCGGCAUUGUUUGGGAGCAGCUUGUUGCUGCUUUUUCUUUCUUCAGGUUCUCAUCCAGAGUCUGUCAGGAUCAGUUACUGAACUCCAUUUUCUGUUUCUGAUGCUGAAGCUGUGCUGGAUUCUUCUGAAAGAAUCACAGAUCAAACAUGUCAUUUCAGACUCUGCUUGAUAAAUUCUCUCUGAACUUUGAAUAAAACAUGAAAACGUCAAACUGUU